rnacentral:rRNA from 1 species
UACAGAGGGUGCGAGCGUUAAUCGGAAUUACUGGGCGUAAAGGGCGCGUAGGCGGUUUAGUGGGUGUAAUGUGAAAGCCCUGGGCUUAACCUAGGAAGCGCAUCGCAAACUACUAAGCUAGAGUAGAUGAGAGGGUGGCGGAAUUUCCGGUGUAGCGGUGAAAUGCGUAGAGAUCGGAAGGAACGUCAAUGGCGAAGGCAGCCACCUGGCAUCAUACUGACGCUGAGGCGCGAAAGCGUGGGGAGCGAACAGG